ensembl:lncRNA
AUAUAUGUAUAUAUAACACAUAUGUACAUACAUACACAGACAGGCACACACAAACACACACACACACCCAUAUAAAACUGUAUGGUUGUUUUGUGUGCUUUGACAAUGUCUGCCCUCAGGCACGGAGAGCAAACACUACCACUUGAAUCCAGACUCCUUCAGUCACUGGAAAUAAUGCUGACCUUUAGGGCCUGUGAAAUGAACAGGCGAUACUUGGUUAACACAGGGAGUUAUGUGUGCAUGGCUGCCUGACCCCUCAGGUCAGCAGAUCAGUCAGUGAGCACUAGACCUGGGCUACUGUGAAUGUGGGUCACCGUCUUGCUCAGGAAACCUUUGAAAAAUAUUUUCUUAAAUACUUAAUAUCUUUUCAGAUAUACUAUGUACUGGUUAUAAUUUAUUCAGUUAGCUUUAUUAGUUUAUCUCUGAUUAUUAAAAUAUAGCCUACUUAUUGUCUCUAACUAUUGCAAAUAUUUUAAUGAAUGCAAAUAUACAUACAUACAUCUUUGAACACCUCUGAUUAUUAUUAUUAAAUUAAUUAACUAAUUAAUUAAAAUAAACUUCUAGAGAGAACUAAAGAAAGUGGACAUUUCCAAGGUUCAUUGUUCUGGUUUUGUUUGCAUGUUUGUUUGUUUUUGAGACAGGGUCUCAUGAAGCCCAGGCUGGCCUCAAACUCACUACAUAGUUGAGUGACACUGGCUUUGAACUCCUGAUCCUUCUAAGUCCACUUUCCAGGUGCCACAGUCACCGUGCCCCGCCCCUGUCUGUUCAUGUUUCUAGCUGGUCAUUGGGAAGUUUUCACCUGCACUGUGAGCCGAUGAAAAUACCCACCUAACUCCAGUCUGAGUGUGGCUCUUUAAUAAGAAAUCGGGGGGCUGGGGAUUUAGCUCAGUGGUAGAGCGCUUGCCUAGGAAGCGCAAGGCCCUGGGUUCGGUCCCCAGCUCCGAAAAAAAGAAGCAAAAAAAAAAAAAAAAAGAAAAAAAGAAAUCGGGAGGUUCUGUGGCCUGGGUAGCAUGAGCUCUCUUCCAGUAACAGAAUUCACUCGUAGGCUGUAUAGAUGACUUGGGUUGUUACUUAAAAAAAAAAAAAUAAAGAUCGUUUUUCUAGAGUUAGACUUCCCUUGUGAAUUCAUAGAACUCUCUCCUUUUGGGAAGACAAUUUGAGGGAUGCUGCUUCUCUGUUAGUGUGGACUGGGAAGCAUCCUUCUGGGCCAGAGUGCAGCUGAGCCAGGUACCUACCUGGUCCAGGUCAACAGACCAACAUCAUUCUUUAAUAAUAAUAAAUUUCUAAAGUUGUGUGUAUAGGUGUGCACGUGCACGCAUGUGUCUAAGUGUACAUGUGAGCGAUCACUGAUUUACUUUAUUUUUCAUUUUAUGCGUGAGCGUUUUGCCUGCAUGUAUGAGCACCAUGUGUGUGAAGUGCUCAUGGAGGCCAGAGGAGGGCACUGGGUCUCCACCCCUCCUGGAGCUGGUGUCGCAGGUGGUUGUGGGCUGCCGUAUGGGUGCUGGGAAUCACACUUGGGUCCUGCGACUGCAAUGAGUGCUGUUAACCGUUGAGCCAUUUCUCAGGCGUGUCCCUGAGACAUCAUUCUUGACUCUUCAGAGUUAGUGUUAAUAAUUCCUAAUAGAGGGAUUAUAGAGCCUGGGCCCAAUUUUCAAAGAAUGUGUUGGGUUUUUUUUUUUCAACUUUUAUAAGAAGACCAAAAUUACAAUCAUUCCUUUCGCAGUGUCAGAAACACUAGAUUGUUUUACGUGAGGUGAAGUAUUGAGAAAAUAUUUCCGCCAACAUGCUAGAGAGCGCAGAGAUAACGAGAGCUGGCCACCCCUGGGUGGGAACAGGAUAACGUGUGAUGACCUGUGAGCGGCUCCCCUGAGUGUGUUUUCAGUAAUAGUUACUUUGUUGCCCUGACUUUGCGUAGUGGAAGCUUUGUGUGUAUUUAGUUCUGCAUCUUUUGCCUCAGACUUCACCUCGUGCUCCUGUAGUAAGCACUCAGGGAGAUGUUGCAGUGGGGCAAAGUCUUGCUGCAGGAACGCAGUGACCUGAGUUCGGUUCCCCCAGAACCCAGAUAAAGCUGGAAAGAGAAAGAACUGGCCCCGUGAAGUUGUCCUCUGACUUCCACUUUUUAACACAUCUCCUCCCCAUUUCAUGCAUAUGUACAAAACAAAAACUGGUUUGAGCGUUUUGUGUACUCUUCGAUGUCUUAGUAUUUGAACCUCUCCCUAACUGAUGAGAGAUGCCUCAUGGGCUAAGAGCACUGACUACUCUUCCCAGAGGACCAGGGUUCAAUUCCCACCACCCAUACGGUGGCUCACAACUGUUUCGAACUCCAUGGUCUGACCCCUUCACACAGACAUACGCACAGGCAAAACACCGAUACACAUGAAAUAAAAAAUAAAUAAAUUAUUAAAAAAGGAACUGCUUUACACAGUUAACUAGACAAGUCUACAUAUUUAAGUUAAAAAGAUUUAGUUGUUGUAAUUUACUCAUAUGUGUCUGUGCUAUGUGAGUUUAUGUGUAUAAUAGUGUAUACCUGGUUCUCUCAGAGACCAGAGAGCGUCAGAAUCCUUGGAACUAGAGUUACGAGCAGUUUUGAGCUGUCUGAUGUGGGUUCUGGAAAUGGAACUUGGAUCCUCCAGUGAUUUUAACUGCUGAGCCGUCUCUCUAACCCUUAUAUAUUAAGUUUUAGAUGUUCUUUAUUUCUUCCUCAGAUUAACUUUCUUCUGUCUGGAGUACAGUGUGUGUGUGUGUGUGUGUGUGUGUGUGUGUGUGUGUGUAUCUGUGAGUCUGUGUGUGUGUGUCUGGUGUGUGUGUCUCUGUAUCUGGUGUGUGUGUCUCUGUGUCUGGUGUGUGUCUGUGUCUGGUGUGUGUGUGUGUGUGUGUGUGUGUCUGGGGUGUGUGUCUCUCUGUGUGUGUGUGUGUGUCUGGUGUGUGUGUGUGUGUCUGGUGUGUGUGCCUGUGUGUGUCUGUCUGUGAGUUUGUGUUUGUGUGUCUGUGUUGGCUUCUGUUGGUGUCACAGUUCUCUCAAUAUUUGCCUGAAAAAUGUCACUUACUCACUUUUAACAUUGGGAGGCUAUUUUUACCGGCCAUAAAAUCCUAGCGGUGUUUGCGCUCAGCCCUUCAUGGAUGAGAGUCCUUUUCUUCUAGCUUUCUCUCUUCUGUUUAAGGAAAGCUCUGCCCGAGUUGCUGCAGGAGCCCGUGUUGCUGUGGCUGGCUCUGCUGCGAUGCAUGACACUGACCCUCUUCUGUGCGCUCCGUGGAGUUUGGGGACACUUCUAGGAAUCACGGCAUAUGGUUUGGGGUUGGCUUUAGGAGAAUUCUUGGGUUGUUCUCUCCGGAUCUUGCUUUUGCUCUGUUAUUUUUCUCCUUCUCUUCUCAGAUGCCAGCCCGUCUGGCUUUGAUGGCACCUGCUGUGACUGACUCUCUCCGAGGGCUCUGUGUUUCAGUUGGCCCGUCUUCCUGGCUAGUAGUCAUUCUCCUCUUUCUCCUUUUUACUCUCAAGCCCUUCUAUUCAGUUCUUAAGUUUAGUUGCUUCAGUAGUAGGGAUGUUGUGUAAUUUUUAAAAACCUUAUGGGUUGUGUGUGUGUGUGUGUGUGUUUGGUUGAAAUUUAAACCUUUGUUUUUUCUGAACUUUACCCAUUUUUUUUGAGUUCUGUUUGGGAUCCAAUUGGGAUCAAUUGGGGUCCAAUAUUUGGACCCUCUAUCACAUUUUUCUUUAUGGAUUGUACUUCUCCAAAGAUUUGAUCCUAUCCCAUGAUAUUGCCUGGUAAUUUUUGUUUGAAUGCUGAACGUCUUACAUGGACAGUGUAGAGGCUCUGGAUGUCCGCUCGGUUGGGUUCAGGAAGGCCUGGUUGUGUUUCUGACUUGCUUUGCCUUUGGAGAUACAUUUUAGGGUCUUCCUUGAUUCCUUCCUUGUUCAUAGGUCACCGUGAGGACACCAAAGUCUUGGCUUAACGCUUUAGGUUUUCUCCCUUUGUUUGAAAUAGGGUCUCACAUGGCCAAGGCUGCCCUCAAACUUUCUAUGUAGGUAAGAGCACUCCCCACUUUAGCCUCCAACGUGCUGGGGUUUACAGCCCUGAGCCACCGCAUCCAGUCUUUUUAGUGCUUUAACAGCUUCUCUCUGCUUAGACCUCUCCGAGACAAUUCUGCACACCAAGUGCCAGGAAAAGAGAGGAACCGCUCACAGAAGAUCGGACUGUGUGCUUUCCUUCUCUGUCAGGUCUCAGAGGCCCUCAAAGCACUGAACUAUAAUUAAUUUUUUAGAUUUAUUUCUUUUUAUUAUGUGUGUGUAUGUUUGUCUGCAUGUAUGUAUAUGCAUCGUGUGCAUGUAUGUAGAUCAGAAGAGGGUGCAGUAUCCUUCAGAAUUGGAGUUACGCAUGGUUGUGAGCUGUCCUGUGGCUACUGGGAAUGGACUCUGGACCCCUAUAAGAGCAACCAGUGCUCUUGACCAGUAAACCGUCUCUCCAGCCCUGAACUCUAGUCAGAUGUCUCCCUUGGUGCUUCUCCUGGUUUCCCAUUAGCUGUGUGCUUCCUGUCCCCGUCACCUCCCCCUGCAAUCCCAAGGGAGGAAACAGUAGCACUGAGAUGUGCCCCACAUGCUGCCCUGUCCCAGGUUGUCCAGAUGCCUCGAGUCCUUCCAUAUGUCGCAAAGCAUUUCCGACUUCACAUUUCAUCCCUCUUAUAAGGGAGAUGUGCUGACAACUAGAGUUUGAUCCCUGGGACCCACACAGUGGAAGUGGGGGACUGAUUCCCUCACAGGCAUUUUGGCAAUUUUGCUCUCACAUAAAAUAAAAAUAAAUGUUAAAGUUAGUCCUUCACCACAGGCUGGAGAGCUGGCUCGGUGGGUAGGAGCACUCACUCUGCAAGCAUCUGGAUCUAAGUUCGAAUCUCCAGCAUCCAAGAGCAAAGCGAAACAUGACCGUCGUCCCAGUGUUGGCGAGGGGACACAGGUGGAUCCUGGGAGUUCCCUGGCCAGCCAGCCAGCCAGUGGAACACACAAAAAGCCCAGGGUUCUGAGAUAGACCCUGUCUUAAAGGAGUAAAGUAGAGAUUCACCUUGGUGGGUAUCUGAAGUCUUUCUAUGGCUUCUCUGUAUCGAGCUUGCCGGCAGGCAGACUGGCACACCCCUAUUGAUGCAGCUAAUGCAUACGUCCUCCCCGCCUUAAUAUAUUUGAAAAUAGUCAUAAUACUUCCUGCUCGUCAGACAUUGUGCACGUUGUAUAAUCUAGGCUUUAAAUUCUCCUAAGAAUUUUAGGGCCACAUGGCCGCUUUGAAGAGGGGCGAUCGGGAACAGGAGGGGUUAAGUUACCUGCUUAACCCCUGUGUGUUAAGUCACGCAGCUGAUUUGGACGGUUUGGGUCUGGACGGUUUGGGUCUGGAGCGGGACUUCGAACUCUCGUCUUCUGUCCUUUGACUCUCCGAGUUCCCAUUUAACAUGGCUUCCUUGCUACUGGUUCUAGCUCAUUGGAGGGCUUCCCCAUUACCUCUUGGGCUCUACAAUCAUUCUUGCUGUCUCUCUCCAAACAGGAUCUCACGCAUUCCAAGCUGGCCUUGUUCCUGAUCUCUUUCCCUGCCUCAGCAGGUGUGUGCCACCACAUCUCGUUAAUGUGGUCCUGGGGCAAAUCCCAGGGUUUCUCCGGUGGUGCCAGCAAUCGCUACCAACCAAGCUACAUUGCAUCUGCCUUCCACUAAUUCCCUUAUUUGCCCCCUCCACACACACACACUGCAGGGUAGUUGCUAGAUGGAUAUGAAGGUGCAGACAACUUGGGAAAAGGAGUUUCUAGAAGGUUCCGAUACAGGUGUUGUUGUUGGCAUUUACCCUGACCACAUUUGGCCGCCUGGUAGCUCACCGUGUAUCUGUUCUGGGGGUUCUGGCAUGUAUUGAAUGACUGGGGAGUUUCUGCUUCCUCCGCUGAGUUCGACUGGCACAGGCUUGCCGGGCCUUCGCCUUCGCAGUUUAGGGAGAAGGGAGAACUCCAUCGUCCUCUCCCUCCUGUCAGCCUCAGGUUAGAAUAACGGUUGACACACAGCGCUCAGCCCAAUUGGAUUACCAGGCAGCCUUCCCACAGCUGGUGGAAACUGCUAAGCUUUGGUCUUGUGAACUGGCUGUCUCCGUUUCUCUGCUGACUUUAGUACCCGGGUACCCCACUCUCACGUUCUUAACCUCAUUCAACUCUCCUUUCCUUCUCCUCUUUCUUCCUUUGUAUUGACUAUGAAUUUUACAGAUCUUAAUUGUCCCUUUUUUGUUUGUUUGUUUGGUUGUUGUUGUUGUGAGAUGGGGUCUUAUCCCAGGCUCUCCUGGAACUCACUAUGUACCUGAGGGUGAUCUUGAACUCUUGAUCUUCCUGCUUCUACUUUCCAAGGGCUGGGAUUCCAGACCUUUGUGACCAUACCUAGCUUCCUUGAAGAUGCAUGAUAGACAGGGGUGGCACAUGCCUGAAAUCACUUGGGAGGUUGGAGGCAGGAGGAUGACAAGUUCAGGACUAAUCUGGCUACCUAGUGAAACUUAGUCUCAAAAACAAUGACAAAAGCAAAAUAUUCUAUGGAUUGAAUAAAAAAAUUUGUCUUUUGCUUUUAGUCUAAAAAAAUUGGUAUUUAAAGUUUCUAAUGUCUUGGGAAAGUUGCUAUUCGUUCUUAGUGUUUUCUUUGGGUUGGCAGCACCAACCUGAAGCCUCAGUUCCUUGCUUCACGUUGUGAGCUCCGGGCCAGCGCUGGUGGCUCAUGUGGAUCUGGGGGGCACAGUCUGAGUGGGAACCGCUGCUGUCCUGAUGGCUCUCUGAUCCGCAGGGUUGUGAUGGAGGGCUUUACAGAUGACGAGAUAGCUUUAAGCUGUGUUUAUUAAAUGGUAGCAGAGGAGAUAGCUGGGAGGAAUGAGGACGAGGUGGCAGGAAAUUGAAGGGAGCCCGCCCUCCCUCACCUGAGGCGGAGGAAAUCCAAGCCUGCACAGUGGCUUGACUCUACCCCCCCUCCUUUACUCCACCUCCCUGCUUCCCCUCCCCCUUUGCCUUUGUGGCACCAUCUUCUGCUGUCCCCGCCCUUUCCCUCCACACUCUGGUCUCCUGGCUGUCCCUGCGCGUUCCCCUCAGGGCCUUUGCACAGUCUGAGUGGGACCUGCUCCGAAGCCUUCUCUGCCUUGUGCCUCUGCAGCCUCUGCGCCGGCGCCGUUCUGAUUUGCCUGGCCCCGUCUUCCCAUAGGCCUUUGCUCAGGUGUGUCUCUUAAUGCUGGUGCUUCUCACUGCACCCGCCCUCUACCUGGGCUCCCCAUCUUCCCCCAGCCCCCGUGUGCGAAGAUGUGCUCGGAUCAGCCGUUGUUACGCGGACACUGUCCACUUGUUUUUGUUUCUGAGUCCAUCACUGGCCUGGAAGCCCCCUAGCAGGCUGCAGACUAGGGAGCCCCAGGCUUCUAUCUGCCCAUCUCCAGCUUCCUGGCCCUGUGACUACAAGCCCAUGCUAGUCUUCUCUCACCCCUCUGUGCGUUUUAUUUUUUUAUGCAGGUUUUGUGGAACAACCCAGGUCCUUUAAGCACGUUACUAAGAGCUAUCCCCCAGCCUCUGCUGCCUUCUUUUCACGUUCUUGAUUUUUUAACAGCCUAUCUGCUUUCUCGCAGAGUGAGAGGGUGUCCAUGGCCGAUUCCUCGGCAUUCGGAAGACUGGCAAGUAUGUCAUAGGCGCUCCAUAAAUGCAUGCUGGAUGCUGUGUCCUUGGGGUUUUGCCUGGGCCCCCCGGGCUCCUAGCGCUUUCAUUACAUCUUAGGAUUUGGAAAAAAUAUCUGCCUGUAGGAAUUUUUUUUUUAAUUAAGAUUUUUAUCGUUGCCACUCCCUGCCCCCUUCCAGUUCAUUUAAGACGGUUAUGAAACAAAACUCAUUAUGCUUCAAAAUCUGACAGAGCUAAGGCCCCAGGGAGAGAGAGAGGAGGAGGAGGCGGCUUCAUGAGCUUCCACCACCACCCCCUUGCUUGGUUUUGUCCUGUGCUUUGGCUCUUUUAGGAUGGCCUGAAACUCGCACUGUUGAGGUGAGCAGGGGCCCCCAGACACAUGGGGCCACCAGCCUGAGAGAGGGAACAACCACGAAGGGGGCUCUGCGUCACAGUGUUCAGGGUAGGAACCAAAAGGAAGAAAGCUGGGGGUGGGGGAGUGGGGGAGAGAGAGAUGCUCGUCGGCACCCUCCUUGGAGGAACGAAAAAAGGGUGGCAGUCGUCUUCCUUAGCAAUGACUUGGUUUUCACUCGGAAUGACAAGUGCGUCCGUCCGUUGGUUCAACAGCAUUUAUCCUGUGCCUGCUGUGUACAGAUGGGUUUGUAGAGCCUGUGGGCCUGGGCCUGGAUGGAGUCAGGUCUCCAGCCACUGUGUAGCUGGCAACAGAGGGGACUCUUUCAGAGGAACUGGGUGUGCCCCUGUGGCUCAGAGCCAGUGUGGUGUUGGGCUUAGGUCAGUCUGUGGGUUCCUGGGAAGUGGGCAGCGUGCUGGGAAUAAUUAAUGUGUGUGGAGGGAAGGCAGACUGAGGAGGAAGUGGAGGGGCCUCCUGGAUUCUUUUUCCCUAAACAUUCCCUAAAUGAAUUCAUCCUUAGUGCUUUGCCUUGUGUUAUUUUGAGAAGACAUGGUCUAAUGUAGCUCAGGCUAGCCUCCAACUCACCACGUAGCAGAGGAUGACUUUAGACUCCUCUGGGAUCCUCUGGGAUUGUACCACACCCAGCUCCUUCAUUUUUCAUGUGUGGAGGCAGAUGCAUUCUUCACUUCAGCGGGUCCGUUUUUUUUUUUUUUUUUUUUUUUUUUUUGAGCUUUAGAACUGCAACUCUUAUUUCCCUCUGAAUUGUGGAAGGGAGCCGGGUGAUAUUCUGAGAUCACUGCAGGGAUAGGCUGUGGAACACAGGCCCUGCUGCACCCUUAAUAUAUGCAAUGUAAGAUACAGGACUCCGAGAGCGGGCGCUCGAGGGGAGAGAGCGUCCCCUGGAAGGCUGGAGUCUCACCCUCUAGCCACCCUGCAUCCGGUUCUCAGCAUCUCAUCCGCUGGUGGAGUAGCAACGCCAACUUUUUCAUGACCUCUCUCCUGUCUUCUGCUAUUGGGACCGUAAUGAUUUCAGAAAAAGGCCAGCUAAAUGAGUAUAGUCCAGUAUGCAGAAGGAAGAAACACGGUUUCAGGAUGAGGCUGCCUUACUGACAAAUACGGGGAUGGGUGAUGCAUUCCCCAGUUGCUCACUGAGAUCACGAGUGGUUGGCAUUGGGAGCAAAUUGACAUUACCUGUGGUUUGGGGCUUGCAAGCUUCCUUAGUCGAUCAGAACAGAAGCCCCAAGUCCUGCUUUGAGGCCCAAGGGUUUGUUAUCAUAGACAGCAUCUUCACAGGUUACCCAAAUUCCAUUUGUGUUUGACUGGUCCCGAGUGACGCGUCAAGCCCUUACCAGCCGUCUCCGACUGCAAACCAGUGUGUGCAGGAUGUUGCACAGCUUUAGAGUAUGUGUGACCGGGUGCAAGCCAUUCACACCGUGGGAGCAGGUCCAGAAGGAUGUCAGGAGGCCGUGUGGUCUGUGUCACAAACACAUGCUGGUGUGCGUGCACCCUGGCUGGGUGGACAUAAUGAUGUUUCCUUUCAACCUAUUGGGUGCCACCAGCCAGCCAUUCUGAGGUAAGUCUGUUGUCAUGGCAAACAGGCGGAUGGACAGCAGGGUGAUUUUGUACUCUAAAGUUCUGCUCCCCAAGUUGAAGGAGAGCAAAGUGGGGAGCUAAAGGAGCAAUGCAGUUCAGGCUAGGAGCAGAAGCAGGAAAGAUGAGAGGCUCCCGGGGCCAUGUUGCAGGAGAGAGUUCGGAAAGGGUCUGGGUCGAGAGUUGGGUCUGACUCCUACUGUGGAUUAGAUCUGAGCGUCUGUUUUAUGUGUGAGUUUAGACCAGAGAUCAUCAGCCUCAGGAGUACCCACCCUGUUGUCUGAGCCUCUUACUCUUGUGCGACCGGCUGGCCAGAGAGCUGCAAGGUCUACCAACCUCUACUUCCGCAUCGCUGAUUAAAACUUGUGCCUCCACACUCUGCCAUUUUACAUGGGAUUUGGGCCUUGAACUCAGGGGCCCAUGCUUGUGUGUGGAGCGCUUUGCCGACUGAGCCAUGUCCCUAGCCUGAACCUCUUGUUUUCCUUGCCACAAAAUGAGGCCGUCGGCAAGGAUCAGAGGAAAGAGCAGCAAACAGGAGGCUGCUUUGGAACCGUCCCUGGCUGUUGGUUAGCGAUGCAUAUGGUUCGCAGUCCGAGUGUGAGUCACAAGAGCUGCCUUUUUCUUAUCACCGGUGUUUGCAGUGCUUCACCACCUGCCCUGUUCAAGGCUGGGCUUUAGUGCUCAUUCAUUUUCUUCAGCCCAGGACUGGAGACUCCCAUCGCUUUGGUCAGGGAGGCCAGGCUCGAUUCAUAAGCCCCGGCUGGGCUCGCGCCCUGGCUGGACUCGCAGCACCGCGGCAGAGCCUGACCUGGAUCGGCUCAUUGCUCGCUUGUGUGGUCCUUCCUCGGCGCGUACAGAAAUCUGUUGGGCCCGUGUGUGGAGGAAACAGCCGUGGCCUAGGCUUGAAUCUAGUCAUCCCUCCGGUGCCCUGUUUAGAUGAUCUGUGACGCGAGCCACAGAAGAAAAGUCAACGAGUUAGGGGAGAGCAUCAGGCUCAGGAGGGGUCUGAUUCACGAAGAUUCUGUGUGCGCCCCGCUUGACUUUGAGAAGCGGUGUUAGGGCGACAUUGGAGGCGAUAGGUAGCGGCGUCAUCCUGGGCUGUUGGGGAAGGUGCUGCUACUUUGUGAAGCGGUAUGUUCGCGUAUUGCGUGUCUUGGU